GCUGGGUGUGGUGGCACACACCUGUAGUCCCAGCUACUGGGGAGGCUGAGGCAGGAGAAUUGCUUGAACCCAGGAGGCGGAGGUUGCAGUGAGCCAAGAUUGCACCACUGCACUCCAGCCUGGGUGACAGAGCAAGAAUCUGUCUCAA
rnacentral:SRP_RNA from 1 species